rnacentral:rRNA from 1 species
GUACACUCCUGCGGGAGGCAGCAGUGGGGAAUAUUGGACAAUGGGCGCAAGCCUGAUCCAGCCAUGCCGCGUGAGUGAUGAAGGCCCUAGGGUUGUAAAGCUCUUUCACCGGUGAAGAUAAUGACGGUAACCGGCGAAGAAGCCCCGGCUAACUUCGUGCCAGCAGCCGCGGUAAUACGAAGGGGGCUAGCGUUGUUCGGAUUUUCUGGGCGUAAAGCGCACGUAGGCGGACUAUUAAGUCAGGGGUGAAAUCCCGGGGCUCAACCCCGGAACUGCCUUUGAUACUGGUAGUCUUGAGUUCGAGAGAGGUGAGUGGAAUUCCGAGUGUAGAGGUGAAAUUCGUAGAUAUUCGGAGGAACACCAGUGGCGAAGGCGGCUCACUGGCUCGAUACUGACGCUGAGGUGCGAAAGCGUGGGGAGCAAACAGGAUUAGAAACCCGUGUAGUCCCA